UACGUAGGGGGCUAGCGUUGUCCGGAUUUAUUGGGCGUAAAGAGCGUGUAGGCGGCCAUGUAGGUCCGGUGUGAAAACUCGAGGCUUAACCUCGAGAUGUCAUCGGAAACCAUUUGGCUAGAGUCCGGAAGAGGAGAGUGGAAUUCCUGGUGUAGCGGUGAAAUGCGCAGAUAUCAGGAGGAACACCGGUGGCGAAGGCAGCCCGCUGGGACGGUACUGACGCUAAGGCGCGAAAGCGUGGGGAGCGAACAGG
rnacentral:rRNA from 1 species